UAAGGAAUAUUGCGCAAUGGGGGAAACCCUGACGCAGCAACGCCGCGUGGAGGAUGACCCUUUUCGGAGCGUAAACUCCUUUUAUCAGGAAAGAAUAAUGACGGUACCUGAUGAAUAAGCACCGGCUAACUCCGUGCCAGCAGCCGCGGUAAUACGGGGGGUGCAAGCGUUACUCGGAAUCACUGGGCGUAAAGGACGCGUAGGCGGAUUAUCAAGUCUUUUGUGAAAUCUAGUGGCUUAACCACUAAACUGCUUAGGAAACUGAUAGUCUAGAGUAGGGGAGAGGUAGAUGGAAUUCUUGGUGUAGGGGUAAAAUCCGUAGAGAUCAAGAAGAAUACCCAUUGCUAAAGCGAUCUGCUGGAACCUAACUGACGCUGAGGCGUGAAAGCGUGGGUAGCAAACAGG
rnacentral:rRNA from 1 species